GUGCGAGACCGAUAGCGAACAAGUACCGUGAGGGAAAGAUGAAAAGAACUUUGAAAAGAGAGUUAAAGAGUACCUGAAACUGCUGAAAGGGAAGCGAAUCGUAUCCAGUGUCUAUAAUCUGCGGCAUAUUUCAUUGGCGGCGGUGCGCGUGCUUUUGCGUCGGAAGCGGCUUUUGUUGCUCUGUGCUUUUGCUGUGCGUGGUGUUGCUGGUGCCCUGUGUUGCGGUGGGACGUCAGUAGUCAGUUUGUAUGCUGCGGGAAAUGGCUGCCGAGGAGGUAGGUCGAGAUUUCGGUCUUGGCUGUUAUAUCUUGGUGGUUUGUUGUCGUGGUUGAGACUGAGGUGCCUACAAUGUGCUUUUGAGUGUACCGGGUUCUCAUUUGGUGGACUGUUGGGAUAGCUUGCUAUGCUUGUGGUUUUUUCAUCGGGUGAUUGAGUCUGGUGGUAACUUGAUGCUGUUCGGGACUUUGAA
rnacentral:rRNA from 2 species